rnacentral:rRNA from 1 species
UUUUGAUCCUGGCUCAGGACGAACGCUGGCGGCGUGCUUAACACAUGCAAGUCGAACGAUGAAGCCUUUCGGGGUGGAUUAGUGGCGAACGGGUGAGUAACACGUGGGCAAUCUGCCCUUCACUCUGGGACAAGCCCUGGAAACGGGGUCUAAUACCGGAUAAUACUUUCUCUCUCAUGGGGGAAGGUUAAAAGCUCCGGCGGUGAAGGAUGAGCCCGCGGCCUAUCAGCUAGUUGGUGGGGUAAUGGCCUACCAAGGCGACGACGGGUAGCCGGCCUGAGAGGGCGACCGGCCACACUGGGACUGAGACACGGCCCAGACUCCUACGGGAGGCAGCAGUGGGGAAUAUUGCACAAUGGGCGAAAGCCUGAUGCAGCGACGCCGCGUGAGGGAUGACGGCCUUCGGGUUGUAAACCUCUUUCAGCAGGGAAGAAGCGAAAGUGACGGUACCUGCAGAAGAAGCGCCGGCUAACUACGUGCCAGCAGCCGCGGUAAUACGUAGGGCGCAAGCGUUGUCCGGAAUUAUUGGGCGUAAAGAGCUCGUAGGCGGCUUGUUGCGUCGGUUGUGAAAGCCCGGGGCUUAACCCCGGGUCUGCAGUCGAUACGGGCAGGCUAGAGUGUGGUAGGGGAGAUCGGAAUUCCUGGUGUACGGUGAAAUGCGCAGAUAUCAGGAGGAACACCGGG